rnacentral:ncRNA from 2 species
AGAAUGCACGGGUGAGAAGGUGCCGCGGUGGUUCGCCCCGCCGCGGUUAAACGGGAAACAGGUGCAAAGCCUGUGCUGCCCCCGCAACGGUCGGCGGAUCGGGAUGCCUCGGCAGGGUCGAACCCUGCAGCCACUGUGCCCCACGGCAUGGGAAGGCGAGUCAUCCGGCCGCGUGGUGAUCCCCAUCGGACCCACGCGCCACUCCGCGAGCCCGGAUACCGGCCUUCGAACGAACUCGAUG